rnacentral:lncRNA from 1 species
AACAUCAGGGGCAACAAGUUCUCUGACGGUUCUUUGUUCAACCAUGUUAAACUCAAUAGAAAAGAAAAAAAAAUCAACAAACAAUGAGAAAACACAACUAAUUCAGCAAUGUAGCAACAAAUAGAAAAAUACCGACAAUGUCCCUAUUAAGUAAAAACAAUUGAAAUACGAAAAAAACGAUUAAAAUAAAAUAUAAAAAAUACAAAAACAUGAAAAUUAAUCUAAUAACGUC